AUGGGUUUUCGUUUCCCUAAAAUGAUCAGAAAGACAUCAUUUUCUGCAAACCGAGCAAUUUCAAAAGUUGUAGACGUGCCAAAGGGAUACCUUGCAGUGUAUGUUGGAGAAGAAAUGAAGCGGUUUGUGAUCCCCAUUUCAUACUUGAACCAACCAUCAUUUCAAAACUUGUUGAGUCAAGCUGAGGAAGAGUUUGGAUAUGAUCAUCCAAUGGGUGGCCUCACCAUUCCUUGCACCGAAGAUGUCUUUCAACACAUUACUUCUUGCUUGAAUAGGCUAUGA